rnacentral:lncRNA from 1 species
AAUUUUCUUGCACCAGAUGCGCAUUUCGACAAUACAUGUCUCUUCAGUGAUGCUCGUGGCCAAAAUAUUUGAAAUCCAAAGCUUAUAUAAAAGAUGAAGAGAUAAUCCAAAAGGUCCAAAAAGUAUAGCAAAAUCCGUGAAAGGAAUCAGAGCUUUGCAUGAGGGAGAUACAUUCCUUAAUUUAUAAUAAUUUCUAAUAUUUUGUAACAGCAAAUUUUAAUAACACAAAAAAUCCGUAUUUUCAUGCCAGUACUGGCUACUGGGCUGGUGAUACCCUCGGGGACUAAUAGUCCAC